UAUUAUAUUAUUAAAACGAUAGAAAACGAACGGUAAUGAUUUGUCGUUUGAGAGUUAAGAUAUUUCAACGUCCAGUAUUCAUCACCGUAUGUGAGAGUAUUAUUUGUUACAUACAAAACAUAAGGUAAAAAAACUAACCGGAAAGACCAUGUAUGUCCCAUGCGUGGUCAAGAGUUCAAGACGGACACAUCCUGCAGCUCUAAAAAUAAAAAAAAGGAGUGUCUAUUUGAUGUUUGACUGAAAAUCAAUUGAACAUCAGUCAAGUUUUUCAACCAAUAAUAGAACGGUACUUGUAUAUUUGUGUGUCCCUUUUUUGUGUAUCUCCGUUGUAUGUAUGUCAACGCUAGAAGGUCAAUCCUAAUCGGGUUGGACCCGGUUUCAAACAUAUGUGAGCUACAGGUAUCGCAUUACCACAGCCGAAAAAAAGCCUACUGAUCCAUCAACGUACCCUCUGUAGGUCUGCCAUCAACGUACAGUCCACUUUUUUUUUUGGUAAAGCUUCGUAAACCCCGCGUCUCUCGCUUCUUUGCUGUACUUAUCAACGUACAGUCCACUUACAAUCACUCGGGAGAAAAAUACAGUGAUAAUUAGACUGCCAUUCUGGUAACUUGCAGUCUACUCAUAGUGAUAUCUUAAGUGUUAAAGUCUAGAUACACAAAACUUACAGUCAAUUAGCACUGGAACUUCUAAAAUUACAGUGUAUUUAUGCAUAACUUACACUCAUAUUGUGUGAUUAUUACAGUGACAUUAUGACCGGAACUUGUCGAAUCUCAAAGACACCCGUUUGCAGCCCUGAGUCAUGAGUUGGUAUGUAUAUACGCGGGUUGGACUGAACCCAUUUGCAUUCAUGACAAGCAGGUGAAAAACCUUGAAAUUACAGUAAUAAAACCUUGCAAGUAUAGUACCUAGUGUCUUCUACAGAUUAUAGAGACACAACUGAACCAACAUUGCGAUGCAGAGGCCGGGGGCAAUCCUCCUUUUCGAAAAGAAAAAAACAGCUGAACCAACAUACACACUUGACACUUCCUAUCAUACAGAUGACUACACACUGAACCAACAUAGACACUGCCCUAUCCAUAGUGUGAAAAAAGCAGUUCAUCAUCUAUCUAAUGCAAACAAUCCUUCUUCUCCAUCAUUGUUAAUUCACAGUCUGAAAAAAAGGAUCAAACACGACAUUAGACCAAUCAUUAAGAUAUACAGCACAAAGGGACGCCAUUAACACUGAACCAAAAAGCUGAAAAUACAUAGUACAUGAGACAGCGAGUGACAUAGACGAGUACAGUAAAUUAGGCAACCUUUAGCCAAAAGUACAACUAAAAAAGACUGGAAGUCAUGAACCUCUUUACUGUAAAUUUGAAGUAUAAAAAACAGAAGUGCUUACAUCUUCAAAAAAAAUCAGUAACAAGAAGUCUAGAACUUAUCCACCCUGUUGAACUCACUGAAAAACUUAUCAUUAGCAUACUUUGUCCUUAAGUUGGGAAUGUCAGCGCUUGAAAAAUGGUCAACAACUUGAGUCCUUGCAGUCCACACUUCCAUAAACUCCAAUGUAAAGACACCACAAUUGUGUGCCUGGUUUCACAUGAAUAAAGGAAGAAAAAAAAAGAUACCAACAAAAUCAAGAACAGAAUAUAAGAGAAAAUCAGGCCAGCUAUACUAAAAAACAAAUUACCUAUUGGUCUGAUUGGAACAGCUAUAGGUCGAUAACAUCAUUUGUUUUCCAAACUGUUUUGUUUCCUCAACAUGGGAGUAAUAAAAGUGUCCCAGAAUCCUAUAAAGUUUGUAAUACGCUCGAAUAAAGGAAAAUACAAGAGAUAAAUCUUAAAAGAUAACAACACAGUGCCUUCAAAAGGGAAACAAAUUGAUUAAAAUGUACUAGCAUAUCGCCAAUCUGCAAGUGAAAUUCAGAAUGCUCAUUAAAAGCUGGAUCAAGUAAAGUAAAGGCUCUUCCCUUCAAACAAACAAAGAAAGAAAACCAAUGCUUUCGAACGGUUACAGAGAAGUACAGCUGGAACAAGGAAGAAUAAUAUGAAGAAAAAUGUAUAUAGAGAAAAUGAGAAAUAAAAAAGAAAUGGCAAAGACAAACACCAAAAAAGAAGGCAGAAAUUAAAUUACUAUCAUGGAGGAAAUGAAAAAUAAAAAGAAAGAGCAAAGACAAACACCAACAAGGAACCAUGGAGUUAGAAAUCCUUCAAUUCCAAUUGGGGCAAAGAUAAACACCAAAGCUGCAACAACUAAUUGGGGGAGAGCCAUGGAAGAUCAUACAAGAGACGAUCCACAGGCCGGAAAUCCUUCAAUACCAAUGUCUUUGCUCAUGCCUAGUGAUUUUCUAUGAGAUCUAGAACCGGUAAAAUCACAAGAAUGAAAAGCAGAGAUCACAAAUUCUUUUCAUUUGACAGAGUGUAUUGCACAGAGCACUCUAGUCAAAAUCAAAGAAACUGGUCAGUUUUGUUUCAAAAUCACCAGGGCAAAAGAAACUAAAAUUUACAGUAGCAAAAAAGUACUGAAAUUACUAUUAUCAAGUUGCAACACUAACCAAAGGUAGAUUCAGUAUAUAUUAACAGUGUGAAUAGAUAGAACACUACCCAACAAAGACACUGUGAUUUACAGUCUAAUUACCACUGUAAUUUUACUGAAAUUACACUGUGAUUUGCAUUGACUGUAAAUACAGUAAAUAUUCUAGUAAAAAUGGCACUGUGAUUACCCAUGGAAAUUACACUGUAACAACAUUGUAAAUAUAGAGAAAUUGCACUGUAAUUACAGUAAAUAGCAGUGUGAUUUACAGUGUAAUUACCCUAAAAAUUACGCUGUAAUUACACUGCAAUUACAAGUAUACUGUAAGAGCACUAUAAUUACAAUACGAUUACUCUGUAAUUUCAGAGGAAAUGACACUGUAAUUAAAAUGAAAUUACAAUCUUAAAGCUGUUGUAAACUUAGAUGCAACACUACGGAAAACAUAGAAAAAAUGUUAUAAAAUGGAUACAAAUACUACCAAACAAAGACAAACCACAAAGAUAAAGAUGCAACACUACGGUUCUAAAAUGCUUGCAGACCCAACAUAGUCAAACUUCAUUGUGAUCUAGUGUAAUUAACCUGAAAAUAGCACUAUAAUAACCUGAAAUUACAUUGUAAUUGCAGUGCCUGUAAACUAAAAAUCAUAGAAGUUACAGCAAAAAUUGCACAAUGGUUACCUCUGGAACUUACACUGAAAUUACAAUGUCACUACUAUGUGAUUUCAAAUGAAAUUACACUGUAAUUAAAAUGAAAUUACAGUUAUGGUUACCUCUGGAACUUACACUGAAAUUACAAUGUCACUACUCUAUGAUUUCAGAGGAAAUUACACUGUAAUUAAAAUGAAAUCAGAUUUAUGAAGUUGUGGUAACUUAGAUGCAACUAGUACCUAAAAACGAACACCCCUGGAUCUAACAACAAAAAACGUCAGCGGAAUCAAACGCCCAGGUUAGCAGAAAGAAAAUCAACAGGGGAAUCGGAUCCACCGCUACAUCCAUCCACCUAUCAAUGUAAUUGCAAAAAAAUCGCCAAAAUCCACCUCUAAGACUACACAUACACCUACAUCUACAUCAAACACAAGGGGAAUCGAAUCAAACCACAAGAUCUAGAAGAAAUUCAAUGGGGCAAGGGAGAAGACCAGGAUAUCCAACUGAAACCACACGGCACUGGAGCGGAAAUCAAUCUGAAGAAGAGGAGGAGGAGAAGAUGGGAAUCACCAUGGACGACGAGGAAAUCGCCAAGAAUCGCCUCCCUCUCUCAGCUUUAACUCUCGCCAAGAAAUGAGAAAGGACAAAAAAAAGACAGAGAACAAAAGGGAUAGGCGGUAACGGGCUGGCUGGGAAACGAAAGCGCACCCGGUAACAGAGACAGAAAAAAAAAGUCCAAAAAAGCCAGCACCCAGCGCGGAUCUUGGCACAAGACCAAGCGGCCAGAAAUUUGAAUGAAACCCAAUUGUAAAUCACUCGACUGUUAAUUAGCAAAACCGUAAAAUAAAGGACGGACACAGACAGCGUACGGACUAAAGCAAACCGUAGGGACUCACCUGAUGCAAUUAGAAAAGGAGUAUCCUGUCAGGUGUCUAUUAUAAUUCAUACAGGAUCCAACUAAAAAAAUAGAAUUCAAACACGAUAAAUCAAGCAGUAAAAAAGGCCA
rnacentral:lncRNA from 1 species